UAUUGAUUUUUGGGGUGACAGUAAACUAUAACAAGUAAGCGAAUACAAAAAUACCAACCUGUGAAUAACGAAGGUCACCUGUAUUCCCGUGGACAAAACAAAUUUCGUUUAAGCAUAUUUACUAAAUCAAAGCGUCUGGUAGCGCUGGAGACUACAAGUUCCAGCAUGCACCGCUUCAGUACGGAGCCCGUAUUCCGCCAACCGCCACAGUAGCGUCAAGCCCGAGGCUUUGGCCCGGAAGUGUCGCAUUUGGAUCACGUAGCACUCUUAGCGCCUGUGCACACGCUGCGGGGGCCGCCCCAGCUACCGCCGCCCCUGCAGUAGCUCUAUCUAUGGUUUCUCCCUAGAGCUUUGCCGUUGUGGGGUAGCUGCUGCGGCUGUGUUCGUCCCGCGCGGUAGCGACAUGGAGGAAUUCGAUUCCGAAGACUUCUCCACCUCGGAGGAGGACGAAGACUACGUGCCAUCCGGUGGAGAGUAUAGUGAAGAUGAUGUAAAUGAAUUAGUGAAGGAAGAUGAAGUGGAUGGUGAAGAGCAGACCCAGAAAACCAAAGAGAGAAAAAGAAAGGCUCAGAGCAUUCCGGCCAGGAAGAGAAAACAAGGUGGCCUCUCAUUAGAAGAAGAGGACGAGGAGGAUGCCAACGAGGAAUCUGGAGGAAGUAGUAGUGAGGAGGAAGACGCAGCUGCAGAGCCAGAAAAAGGCAUUGAGUCAGAGAAUGCAAGGAAAAAGAAGGAAGAUGAACUAUGGGCCAGCUUCCUCAAUGACGUAGGACCAAAAUCAAAAGGGCCUCCGCGUACACAAGUUAAAAGAGGAGAGGAGGCUGAAGAGACAAGUUCAAGUAAAUUGUUGGUCAAAGCAGAAGAGCUAGAGAAACCUAAAGAAACAGAAAAAGUUAAAAUCACCAAGGUGUUUGAUUUUGCUGGUGAAGAAGUCAGGGUGACUAAGGAAGUGGAUGCUACAUCUAAAGAAGCCAAAUCCUUCUUCAAGCAAAAUGAGAAAGAAAAACCCCAGGCUAAUGUCCCUUCAGCUCUGCCGUCACUUCCUGCCGGGUCAGGCUAUGGACCUUCCCAGUUUCUAGAGAUCAUCCACAUUCCUUGGCUCAUGACCCCCUACUGUUUUCGAAGCCAGCAGCAAUUGGUUGAUUCCCUCUCAAACUGUGAAUGUCUACUCCUUCCUUCAUCACAUCUCUAACCCAACUGAGAAAGGGUCUCCACUUUUAAGGACUCCUUUGAUUAGAUUGGACCCAGAUUGAUAAUCGAGGAUAAUCUCCCCUGUCUCAAGGUCCAAUACCCUUAAUCACAUGUGCAAAGUCCUUUUUGCAUGUAAGAGAAGAGGCCAUGUGAAGACACAGCAAGAAGGUACCUGUUUGCCAGCCAGGAAGAGAGGUCUUACCUUGAUCUUGGAUUUGCAGCCUCCAGAACUAAUCAUAAUACCAUGUCACACCUGAAAAAAGCUGUGCCACCAGGGAAGUCCCACGCUCAGUAAAGUUUUAAUGAAAGAUAUCUUAGCCUGUGUACCCCAGAUUACAGUUUAUGACAAGGAUGUUGAGCAUUCUGCAGGCUCUUAUCCAGUGGUGCCGAGGCCAGCCUAAGACAAAUUCCAAGCUCCUGACAGCCAUUCAAGGAGGGGUCUGCCAUCUGUUGCAAUGAACAGAUGCUUUUCCUGUGCCGGCUCUGAAGUACUUACGUCUCCUGUAGAAGAAAACCCAGUGAAGGAUGGACAGCAGCUAUGAGAUUAGCCAACAUAGAGAAUUGUUAUUUUAGUAGAUAUCAUUAUUGGAAUCUAUUUAUAAUAUACCAAGUUGAUACGUUUUCCCAAUAUUCAUACGUUCUUUUAACAAAUGUUUAUUGAGUGCCUAACAAGUGCCAGGCACUGUGCCGGGUGUUUGAGUUAUAUAGGUGAUCAAAACAGACGUUGGCUCAAGCCUUUGUGGAGUUUCCAUUCCAGCAGGAAGAUAGACAUUAAACGUAAUAAAUAAAUUAUGUGGUGUGUUAGAAAAUGCUGAGUGUUAUGAAGAAAAGAAAAUCCGAGGAGGGUUGGGAAAUCAGGACUGUAGGGUGAGAGUUAAAUUUAGAGUAUUGAAUAGGAUGGUAAGCGUUAAGUGUCAAUGAGAAGUUGGAGAUUUGAGCACAGACUUGAGGGAGGUAAGGAAGUUAACAAGAUGUUGUGUGGGAAGAGAGUAUUUCAGGUGGAAGGAAUGGCUUGAGGCAAGGCCUACAAAGGUGGGUGCAUGCCUGAAGCAGAAUGAGUCGGGGGGUUAGUUAUGAGGGGAGAUCUGAGAGGUGAGUACCUGGCAGGUACUGUUGCCCUCUACUAAGGUGUGGAAAGCUGCUGCAGGCGAGGUCUACUGGACAUCCCAGUGGAGAUGCCCACUGGGCAGUUGAGUGAAAUUCUGGAGUUAGGGAGAGAGGUCUGGGCUGAAAAUAAGACAUUUGGAGGUCAGAGGCAAAUAAAUGGUAUUUAAGCUUUGGGACUGGGUGAAAUCACUCAGGAAGUGAGUGUACAUGGAGAAAAGUAGUCCAGGGAUCGAGUGCCGGAAGACUCCCAGAUACCCUCAAAGAAACCAGCAUUAACAAUCAGACAAGUCCAAAUAGUGGGCCAUUCUGUAGGCAAAGGGAGUGUUCUAGACAAGGGAGAUCAACUUUUCUUGGUUUGAAACUGCUCAAAAUUGAAAGUUUGUGGGUGGAAAAUGUCAAAAUUUUAAAUAUACUUUGCUGCCAGAGGUGAAUUAGCCUCAGGAAAAAUAGAACAAGCAACUCCUAAAGUCUCAGAUCAGUCAUUUUUCUCUAGCAGCAGCAAGAUUUUAAUUUCUUUCUGUAUUCUAGAGAAGCAUCUUUUCAAGGACAUGAGAGGGUAAGAGUAGGAACAACAGGAAGUAUUGAUUUUCUGCUGUGUGCCAGGUAUUUUGCUGUUCAGUGCUUUCACAUACGUUGAGCAUGUUAUUAUCUCUUUCUGGACUUCAUAUCCCACAUUGUCCCUUUGGCAAAUUCUUUCUCUUCCUUCACGUUUCAGACACCUCCCCCUCCCUUUCUACAGCCUUCCGCAAUUCACACUCUUAGGCUCCUACUGCACUUGCUGUGUAGCGGUUUUCUCAUAAUCUAAUUCUUGUUUGCAUAUCUGUCUCAAGAUAGUGAAUUAAAUGAGGAUAAGAAAUUUGUGUUUCUAUUCUAUCUUCAAUGGCCAGCAGAGUCUGGCACACUGAAGGCACUCAAUAAGUAAAAGCUGAGUUGAAUAUCUCAUUUAAUCAUCAUACUUCAAGGUAGUUAUUAUUAUCCUCAUUUUAUUAAUUGGUUACUUGAGGCUCAGAUAAAUUUACUCACCCAGGGUUUUAAACGAAAAAAGCCUUAAGUGGCAGGGGCAGGUUUCUGCACUGAAUGCUAAGCCACUAUGUCUCACUGCUUGAAAAACACAGCUCCAAAGUAGUACUGUUGAUAUGCGGGACUUGGCUAUAUAAGCAGUGCUCAGAUAUUCCAGUAUUCCUCUCUGAAGUCUAGAUUUCUGAUUUUCCUCACCCUUAUGAAACUUACAUAUGACUAUUAACAUAGGGGACAAGUUGAAAGUUUAAAUGUAUUUCUCAUAGGAAGCUACAACAGAUACCAACUAUAUAAUCUUAAACUUAAGAUUUAAAAAUAUUAGCUGUCUGGGACUUCCCUGGCAGUCCAGUGCUUAAGACACUGUGCUUCCACUGCAGGGGUCACAAGUUCGAUCCCUGGUCUGGGAACUAAGAUCAUGCAUGCCACGUGGAGUUGCAAAAAAAAUAAUUUUAAAUAAU